rnacentral:pre_miRNA from 2 species
ACGAGUCGGCGCCGUCUAAGUGAAUGCUUUGCCACAGUCUUCGACCAUGUCAAAUGAAGCCUGGGCUAAGAUUCGCUUAGGCCGGCGUUUUUCGACACGG